GACGAACCGUGCGAACGUUGUUCGGAAUCACUGGGCGUAAAGGGCGCGUAGGUGGCGCAACAAGUCAACGGUGAAAGCUCGGCGCUCAACGCCGAGUCGGCCGUCGAUACUGUUGGGCUGGAGCACUGUAGAGGCAGAUGGAAUUCCGGGUGUAGCGGUGGAAUGCGUAGAGAUCCGGAAGAACACCGGUGGCGAAGGCGGCCUGCUGGGCAGUAGCUGACGCUGAGGCGCGACAGCGUGGGGAGCAAACAGG
rnacentral:rRNA from 1 species